rnacentral:rRNA from 1 species
AGACCCGAAACCCGGUGAUCUAGCCAUGGGCAGGUUGAAGGUUGGGUAACACUAACUGGAGGACCGAACCGACUAAUGUUGAAAAAUUAGCGGAUGACCUGUGGCUGGGGGUGAAAGGCCAAUCAAACCGGGAGAUAGCUGGUUCUCCCCGAAAGCUAUUUAGGUAGCGCCUCGUGAAUUCAUCUCCGGGGGUAGAGCACUGUUUCGGCUAGGGGGCCAUCCCGGCUUACCAACCCGAUGCAAACUGCGAAUACCGGAGAAUGUUAUCACGGGAGACACACGGCGGGUGCUAACGUCCGUCGUGAAGAGGGAAACAACCCAGACCGCCAGCUAAGGUCCCAAAGUCAUGGUUAAGUGGGAAACGAUGUGGGAAGGCCCAGACAGCCAGGAUGUUGGCUUAGAAGCAGCCAUCAUUUAAAGAAAGCGUAAUAGCUCACUGGUCGAGUCGGCCUGCGCGGAAGAUGUAACGGGGCUAAACCAUGCACCGAAGCUGCGGCAGCGACACUCAGGUGUUGUUGGGUAGGGGAGCGUUCUGUAAGCCUGCGAAGGUGGCCUGUGAGGGUUGCUGGAGGUAUCAGAAGUGCGAAUGCUGACAUAAGUAACGAUAAAGCGGGUGAAAAGCCCGCUCGCCGGAAGACCAAGGGUUCCUGUCCAACGUUAAUCGGGGCAGGGUGAGUCGACCCCUAAGGCGAGGCCGAAAGGCGUAGUCGAUGGGAAACGGGUUAAUAUUCCCGUACUUGGUGUUACUGCGAAGGGGGGACGGAGAAGGCUAUGUUGGCCGGGCGACGGUUGUCCCGGUUUAAGCGUGUAGGUGUGUGUUCCAGGUAAAUCCGGUUCACUUUAACACUGAGGCGUGAUGACGAGGCACUACGGUGCUGAAGCAACAAAUGCCCUGCUUCCAGGAAAAGCCUCUAAGCAUCAGGUAACAUCAAAUCGUACCCCAAACCGACACAGGUGGUCAGGUAGAGAAUACCAAGGCGCUUGAGAGAACUCGGGUGAAGGAACUAGGCAAAAUGGUGCCGUAACUUCGGGAGAAGGCACGCUGACAUGUAGGUGAAGUGAUUUACUCAUGGAGCUGAAGUC